AGGGAAACAUUAGCGGCGGAGGGUGAGUACACGUGGGUAACCUGCCUGUAAGACUGGGAUAACUCCGGGAAACCGGAGCUAAUACCGGAUAGUUCCUUGAACCGCAUGGUUCAAGGAUGAAAGACGGUUUCGGCUGUCACUUACAGAUGGACCCGCGGCGCAUUAGCUAGUUGGUGGGGUAAUGGCUCACCAAGGCGACGAUGCGUAGCCGACCUGAGAGGGUGAUCGGCCACACUGGGACUGAGACACGGCCCAGACUCCUACGGGAGGCAGCAGUAGGGAAUCUUCCGCAAUGGACGAAAGUCUGACGGAGCAACGCCGCGUGAGUGAUGAAGGUUUUCGGAUCGUAAAGCUCUGUUGUUAGGGAAGAACAAGUGCGAGAGUAACUGCUCGCACCUUGACGGUACCUAACCAGAAAGCCACGGCUAACUACGUGCCAGCAGCCGCGGUAAUACGUAGGUGGCAAGCGUUGUCCGGAAUUAUUGGGCGUAAAGGGCUCGCAGGCGGUUUCUUAAGUCUGAUGUGAAAGCCCCCGGCUCAACCGGGGAGGGUCAUUG
rnacentral:rRNA from 1 species